CCUUCUCGGUCUUCGAAGGACCCGGCCCACGUAGACCGCGAAGGCCGGGUCCUCCGAAGGAUGCAGCCGACGUUUUGGGACACAGCUAGUGUGUACAGUACUGUACAGAUGUACAGUAACAACACUGACACCAAAAGGAAAAAAACAGCUGGCAGCAAAAGCAGGGAGGUGUCCUUUCCAGCUUAACAGAAGAGGAAUAUAAAGAUAGUGAAGGGUGGAGCCUGCUGGAGUCCGAUGGUUGAGACCAGGUCUGAGGAAGUAUUCCUGUCA